rnacentral:rRNA from 1 species
UGCCAGCAGCCGCGGUAAUACGGAGGGGGCGAGCGUUGUUCGGAAUUACUGGGCGUAAAGGGCGCGUAGGCGGCCCUAUCAGUCAGGCGUGAAAGCCCCGGGCUCAACCUGGGAUGUGCGUUUGAUACUGUAGGGCUAGAGACCGGAAGAGGAUGGCGGAAUAUCCAGUGUAGAGGUGAAAUUCGUAGAUAUUGGAUGGAACACCAGUGGCGAAGGCGGCCAUCUGGUCCGGGUCUGACGCUGAGGCGCGAAAGCGUGGGGAGCAAACAGGAUUAGAUA